GUGCCAGCAGCCGCGGUAAUACGGAGGGUGCAAGCGUUAUCCGGAUUCACUGGGUUUAAAGGGAGCGCAGGCGGGCUGGUAAGUCAGUGGUGAAAUACCCGUGCUUAACAUGGGAACUGCCAUUGAUACUAUUGGUCUUGAAUAUCGUUGAGGUUUGCGGAAUGGGUCAUGUAGCGGUGAAAUGCAUAGAUAUGACCCGGAACACCUAUUGCGAAGGCAGCAGGCUAAGCGAAGAUUGACGCUGAGGCUCGAAAGCGUGGGGAUCAAACAGGAUUAGAUACCCUAGUAGUCC
rnacentral:rRNA from 1 species